UACAGAGGGGGCAAGCGUUGUUCGGAAUUACUGGGCGUAAAGGGCGCGUAGGCGGCCUGGCAAGUGGAAGGUGAAAUCCCUCGGCUUAACCGAGGAACUGCCCUCCAAACUGCUUGGCUUGAGUCCGGGAGAGGUGAGUGGAAUUCCCAGUGUAGCGGUGAAAUGCGCAGAUAUCAGGAGGAACACCGGUGGCGAAGGCGGGUCUCUGGGCCGAUAUUGACGCUGAGGAGCGAAAGCGUGGGGAGCAAACAGG
rnacentral:rRNA from 1 species